CGAUUGCCAUCUCGAUCUGUCGUGUACUAUAGGUCGAUUCUGGAAAACCUGCAUCAGUCAUUAUUACAAUAGCAACUGUUGUGAUUGGCUGAAUUUAUGAUAUUCUUGGUGCAAAAAUUCAUUGUGGCCAAUAAUGAGCGAGUGUCAACCAAUUAGAGGUAAUUGUGAUUGUGACAUUGUAGCUGUUAAAC